rnacentral:tRNA from 1 species
AAGGUGUUAACUUAAGUUAAAGUGUUAGAUUUUUAAUCUAAAAAUGUAUGUUUGCACAUCUUA